CUUCACGGAUAAUGGUAAGAUCAAAAGUAUGACUAUUUCAUGUGUGUCAGGUGAGAUGGAACAGUAGUGCCAGAGACCGUGUCCUUGGAAUCAAAGAGCUGCCUGCCCUGGGAACCAGAAAGCCCGGGAAGUCUCACACUGACACUGAAGCUAUAACCUUGCCAUAAAUAAAACUAUUCCUCCCCAAAUUCCUGAGACAAGAUAGUGUGAGUCCCAGGAAAUUGCCCCCAUCAGCCAGGUGCAAGAUAAUUUCCAGGCUCCAGGAUGUCUGCUACACAUUUGCUGUGACACCCCUCAUUCUUUCAACCCCCCACUCAGAAAUGUAUAUAACUGGACUCUUUUCACUCAUUAAACUGAGACUUUGUUUCACCCCAA